UCAAGCAGCUCGCCCCCCCCCGCCGCCCCAAAAGGCGUUUGUUUGCCUCUGCCUGUGCCCUUGCCCUGCGUGAAGCCGAGGAGCUUCGUGGAAGGUCCUGCACAGCUCAUGCCACUUGAGGGCAGUGGUUGCAUGCCCAGAGCCUCGUUGCUUUCUCAGGAUAAAAGACCUCAUAAAACAACAAAGUCUCACCAAUUUAACAUAACUUGAACCCAGCCCAGUGGCUGCCCAAAGGCCAUGCUUCAGCAGACAUGCCCGAUAGGAGUGGCGGUGACUUGAUUUGUGUCAGAUUUCACACUGUGUUGGCCCCCAAUCCAAGACAUGACCUUGGCAUGCGGUGUCCAUAUUUUGCUCAGCACGUGCACGCGUGCAAGGCACACCAUCUGCUUACCCUGAUGCGGUGCCCACACUUUCAGACUCUACCAGGACUCCUUUCUCCGCUAAGGCUUCUCCCCAGACUUGAGGAAUCCUUGUCAUAGGAAGAAAAGCACAGAAGGUGGUGUGCUUCUGGUCACCUGGUGAUUUACAAGCUGUCUUUCUCCUCGCAUUAUCUGUUCAGUGCAUGGAAGAAGGGAAGGAAGAGGCUGCUCAAACUGGCAGUUUCUCCUGACCACGCGUCCUUCUACUGGCAGCUGUGUGGGUGUGAUGGGGAUGGAAGGGAUGCAUCCCGGCAAUUGGCAGGGCUGCUGCAAGCUGUUCCUAGGAGGUGGGAACAAUCAUCACCUGGAAGCCAGCCCAUCUCAGAUCCACUCUCCUCCCACAGCUCAGGACAGCCUGGUGAUGGAUAAGGCCUUCUGGAUGUUCUUUUAGGCUUUUGCAGAAGCCUCAUGAAGAGACUGCAAGGUCUCAGCAAGAAGACUGAUUUUGCGUCAGAUCCAAGCCUCUGAGAGAGCCUGCAAGCGCUGAGCUACUGCCAACCCACAGGGAAUGAGUCCGGAGGGUACUGUUUGGGUAACAGUGGAACCCAAGAGAGUUUGUUUAGCUGUAGAUGCAAUACGAAUUGUUCCUGCAGUUUAUUUUUAUAUGCUUAGAGGGUGAAUGAAUUUGGAAGAGUUGGAGAGAAUCAGAGAAUUAGCAGAAUGAAUUAUUAUUGGGGGUUAUUUAUACAAAAUGAGAGAAUAUAUCUCCUGGUGCAACAGUGUACGUCCAGGACUGAUGUGAGUUGCUGCUUUUGCAGUAAUGCCUACUGGGAAAUAUUUAAAAGAAGCUUUUUCCCCCAAUAAGGAAAAGACCAAGAUACGGGAGAGUUCCCCCAGAUGAAGGCAUCAGGGAAAGACUGGUCUGUAGCAGGGAAACCUAGGCAAUGGGUGCUGAGAGCCUGGCGGGAGAGGAGCGUGGAGCCAGUCUGGUCCCAGAGGGCUGCGGUGUACAUGGCUAGUCUGGUCAUGUCAACUAUCCCACCAGUGCGAGAGAGACAUAGCGUGCCCACCUGCGGACUCCUCACCCUGGACAAACAAGGCAGGACGUGGCAUCAAGGGACUCUGUUUGGAGAUAUACAGUGGAGAGGAAAUCAACGCUGAAAGACUGUGAAAAAUAAAUGCACAAAGAUGAUUUAGGAUGUUUUUUAGCUUUUGGGAAGAAGAGGGCUAUCCCAAGCACGUGGGAAACACAGGACAGCUAAAAAGCUUUGGUGGGGGGAGCACAGAGGAAGACUUUAUUCCCUGGUUUGGCUGUUACCUGGCACAGAGGAGUGGAGCACUUUCUCCAAGGGGCCAGUGACACAGCCAGACACGUUUGCAGCCUUCAGCUGGAGGGCAAGAACACUGUAAGUCGUGUCCACACAAAGUCGUCGAACUGUUACUAGAUGCAGUGUUAGGAUUACACCUACUGAGGCAAAAAUAGACCUGUGGAUCCACCUUGGGCAUGCAGUGCAUGAUUAGGAGUGUGUCACCUUUCUCCAUAUAUGCUCUUAACCAUACUUGGGGGACAGGAUCCAUAAUCUUCGGCAAUAUAAAUUAAGAUCCCUGGUCAAAUUAUACUAAAGUUGUGAAAUUCCCACACCCUUCCCUCUUUUCUUUCAAUAAGUGCUGGUUUUAGCAUUGCUUCCCAAAGCAGGGGACUAUUCAAACCAGUUCCUCACUAUUCACAUCGGCACCAAACUGAGGUCUGAAAUGGGUCAGACCAAACCCUGUGUCUGCCCCGGCUGAGAGCGGGAGGACUCUAAAGGGAACCGGGUUGUGUGUGAACCCCACAGUGACAGUAGUAAUGGUUGUGCCAGCCCUAAACACCCCGUUUUUAGGGUACCCUGUUGACAGCCACUGCUCGCGUUUGACAGCACACUGGUACUGGGUACGCCCAGGUACUUGGGACCUCCUGCAGAUGGAAGGGCAUUCUCUGGUCAUGGGGCCGGAGGCCUGGCAGCUAUAUGGGUGGUGAAACCAGUCUGGAGAGACGCCUGGGGCUGCCACUGAAAGGCACUGUGGAUGUGCUGUGUGUGUGAGUGAGAGUGCUCACGCACGCAUGCGUGUAUAGGCAAUCCUGGUCCCUCCUGUGAUAAAUGGCUCUGAGUAGAGCUACGUGAAAUUUUGAAUUUCUGCUUCUGCUUUCCAGAACAGAACAAACUGGGGCAAAAAAAUAGGAAAAAAUUGUUUCCUGGAAUUAAAACAGUCAUGUUCAGAAA